UAUUCGCAUCCAAGUCAUUCAUGAGGUUUCGUCCCGUUCUCGUCCGGGCAUCGCGGUCUGACGCCCGGAUCCUCGCCGUCGCCGGAUAACCCUCGCUUCCGGCCGUCCUUCUAGCAGCUUUUUUGCUAGGACUUCGACGGGUUUACUCUCCUCUCCUUGCGCUUGCCUAUUCGCUUCCCUUUCCUUCCGCUUUAAUCGAGGCGGUUUAUUCGGCUUGGGCUUGGCAGGCCUUCCUAGGGAAUGGCGUUCGACAUUGGCGCCGUCAUUCUUUGAUAUCGGAAGCUCUAGCAUGGUGACGGUAGUGGUGUCUCAGUAACUAUACGAGCAAUGGAAUUGCGUGACUUUUUUGGAAGUUUGGAUUUCUCCUUACAGCUUUCUCGACUUGGACGGCCGGCGUCGCCUCAGGGACGACUACUGUGGUUGUUGUGGUUGCAGGAGUUCUUGCAGUGACUUCAGGAAAAGAGAUGGAUAAAGACGUGAGGAGGAGGGAAGAGAAGAGUAAGAAGUUCACUGAGGAAGCCAUGGAAGGAGAUCAAUUUGAAGUAUGAUGGUGUUGCUCUAGCUUACUUGAAUUUAUAGGAGUUUUUUUAUUUUGUUUUCUUUACUUUAAAAUUCGUCUUUUCCAAUUAAUUGACCGUGUGUUCUUGCGAUGAUUGAGGAACAAAUUGGAAGAGUGACUUUAGGCCUGAC